rnacentral:lncRNA from 1 species
GACCUGGAAGGACUUAAAACAUGCAAGGAACAACUAGAGUAGGUGUUGCCAGAAGAUGCUCCUGCUGAAAAGGCUCUACAGAAAAUGGAAAGACUGAGAGAACCCACAUUGGAGACAGCAACUCUCCUCAUAUCUGCAAAGAAUUGUGGCUGGUAAAUACAGAAGUCCAAUACUGCUUUGGAGGACAGACAUGUCAAGAUAUUUGAUGCCAAGUUCAGAGGGGCCUGAGCUUUUCCUGUUAGGUGAAUUUGCAAAAUUGCAGAGCCCCUAGUGAAAAUAAUUUCUCCCAGGAGAGGGGUGAGAGAAAUUUCUGGGUUCAAUUUUAUGUCUUUGGGAAUAGCACAUUUUAGGAGUCCACCAUCACUAUUUCCUUCCAAUUACACAAGUAGUUUUUCUGACAAAAUAAAAUUGGCAAAGAAUAUUUUCAAAUUCCAGGAAGUUUUCACAAGAUAGCAAAAAAUACACAGGUAGUUCAUAGGUUUGUGCAUGGGUUAUAUGCCUAAUUACAUGGGCAUCUGGCACCAACCCUAGCACAGAAUUCAUUGAUGGCUCUGUCUAGCCUCUAUCCUGCCUUGUACUUGCAUUGAAAAAGCCUCUUCCCAAUUGUUUUCUAGGCCCUACCUUGAAAAAAUACUAAGUAUUGCACUUUAUGCCCUGCUUUCUGAAAUGCAAGCAUUGCACCAAAAGCUAUGUUAGCCAUCUCUAUGCUACAACACUGGACCCCUCUUUAUCUUUAAUUUAUCUUUAAUUCAAAAGUAAUUGUGUACCAUUACAGCUCAGAGUUUAAAACGAGCUCUCUG